rnacentral:rRNA from 1 species
AUUGAACGCUGGCGGCAGGCCUAACACAUGCAAGUCGAACGAGUGGCGGACGGGUGAGUAAUGUCUGGGAAACUGCCCGAUGGAGGGGGAUAACUACUGGAAACGGUAGCUAAUACCGCAUACCAUCGGAUGUGCACAGAUGGGAUUAGCUUGUAGGUGAGGUAACGGCUCACCUAGGCGACGAUCCCUAGCUGGUCUGAGAGGAUGACCAGGAACACGGGAAAUGAGACAAGGUCAAGACGCCGAAGGGAGGCCGCAGGUGGGAAUAUUGCACAAUGGGCGCAAGCAUGAUGUAGCCAUGCCGCGGGUAUGAAGAAGGAAUUCGGGUUGUAAAGUACUUUCAGCGGGGAGGCGUUACCCGCAGAAGAAGCACCGGCGAACUCCGUGCCAGCCGCCGCGGUAAUAC